rnacentral:rRNA from 1 species
UAACAACCUGGAAACAAGAUGCUAAUACCGGAUAACAACAGAUGAUGCCUAUCAACUGUUUAAAAGAUGGUUCUGCUAUCACUCUUGGAUGGACCUGCGGUGCAUUAGCUAGUUGGUAGGGUAACGGCCUACCAAGGCGAUGAUGCAUAGCCGAGUUGAGAGACUGAUCGGCCACAUUGGGACUGAGACACGGCCCCAAAACUCCUACGGGAGGCAGCAGUU